CACGCGGAAUAAGAGAGAAUGGAGGGGAAAUUUAAGUAUUGAUCUUACAGACGGAAAACUCUAGAUUUGGCAAUCUCCGAACAUUACAUCGCCGACCAUCGUAUGUAACAGUGUUAUCGUGUGCGUGAUCGCAGUUGACACGUCGAAGUUGCCGUGAUACGCGCAAGGAUAAUGGAAACAGCCGGUGGAAAUGAGUGUUAUGAGAAAGGUUGCUAGGAAGGUUGGGAUGAAAACUAAUGUAAAUACGUGAAAAACAAAACUUCACAGUCACGUCGUGCCCGAAUGUUUCAUAUUUUCUUGGAUCUAAACGCGAAGAUUUUGCACAUCGGUGUUUCGCGACGCGUUGCAGUUCACGCGAGUGGACUCUUCAAGCGACAAGGAAAACGAAGUUCAAGGACGGAAUUUAGAUACGGACCAGACAGGUAGUUGCCUGCGGCACCGAAACUCUCACUCGCUCUGAUUCAUCAUCAGGAAAUGAGUGUCAGACGAAACUAUCCGAUGGACGAUAAGAAAGUAGUGGGCCGAUAUGGACGGCGGCGUUAUAUAUCGUCGACGACGAUAUCCCGGGUACACCGAAUUAAAUUCGCGUUGCACCGCCGCCGCUCCGAUUGGACAGCCAUUAGCCAUCAGCGAAUUAUCCGGCUGCGACGGCCGGAUUUUCUCGCGGCGGACACCAUCGCGCGAAAUAUUCUCUCGGAAAUCUUCGUGAAAUUUACAUGAAUCUCGCCGGAAGCGGAUCGCGCUAGGAUUAUAAUCGUCAGUGCGUCGAUUUUCACCGAUUUGUGAAAGACCGCACACCGCAACGCUCUCGGAUGGAGAAUCGCGCAAUCGUUCCGUUCUCAUUAAUAUUCGCAAUCGCAUUAAACGCGUUAAUCUCGAAGCGCGAUCUGUGUAGUUUUGUCAAAUACGACAUAAACAAAUACGUGCUAAUUAUCUCCGAUAAAACUUACUGUCGCAUAUUUAAUAAACACCGCGUGUAAUUGCGCGCGAUCUUACAAGAAUCUCCGAGUUGCUUCUUUCGGCGAAAUGUUGUAAUAAUAAAUAAUAACAAAUAAUGAUAAAAAAUAAUAACAAAAUAGUACCACGUGCUUGCUCAAAAUUUCAAUCAAUAUAUAAUCACAACGCACGACGAAAAGUGUUCGCACGAAGUUUCGCGGGAACGACACUCACUCAAUUAAAAUGUGACGUUGAUAAUCUUUCUUUUUUUUUUUAACAACUGUUAAAAAAAUUAGUCAUUUAUUCGUUCGUUUAAACUCUUCGACGACUAUUU